AGUAACGCGUGAGGAACCUGCCUCAAAGAGGGGGACAACAGUUGGAAACGACUGCUAAUACCGCAUAAGCCCACAGCUCGGCAUCGAGCAGAGGGAAAAGGAGUGAUCCGCUUUGAGAUGGCCUCGCGUCCGAUUAGCUAGUUGGUGAGGUAAUGGCCCACCAAGGCGACGAUCGGUAGCCGGACUGAGAGGUUGAAGGCCACAUUGGGACUGAGACACGGUCCAA
rnacentral:rRNA from 1 species